UACGAAGGGGGCUAGCGUUGUUCGGAAUCACUGGGCGUAAAGAGCGCGUAGGCGGCCAGACAAGUCCGGUGUGAAAGUCACAGGCUCAACCUGUGAAUGCCGCUGGAAACUGGUAAACUAGAGUGCAGGAGAGGCUAGCGGAAUUCCCGGUGUAGUGGUGAAAUGCGUAGAUAUCGGGAGGAACACCAGUGGCGAAGGCGGCUAGCUGGCCUGUAACUGACGCUGAGGCGCGAAGGCUAGGGGAGCGAACAGG
rnacentral:rRNA from 1 species